AGUGAGCGCUGGCGGUAGGCCUAACACAUGCAAGUCGAACGGCAGCACGGUAAGAGCUUGCUCUUACGGGUGGCGAGUGGCGGACGGGUGAGGAAUACAUCGGAAUCUACUUUUUCGUGGGGGAUAACGUAGGGAAACUUACGCUAAUACCGCAUACGACCUACGGGUGAAAGCAGGGGAUCUUCGGACCUUGCGCGAUUGAAUGAGCCGAUGUCGGAUUAGCUAGUUGGCGGGGUAAAGGCCCACCAAGGCGACGAUCCGUAGCUGGUCUGAGAGGAUGAUCAGCCACACUGGAACUGAGACACGGUCCAGACUCCUACGGGAGGCAGCAGUGGGGAAUAUUGGACAAUGGGCGCAAGCCUGAUCCAGCCAUACCGCGUGGGUGAAGAAGGCCUUCGGGUUGUAAAGCCCUUUUGUUGGGAAAGAAAAGCAGCAGGUUAAUACCCCGCUGUUCUGACGGUACCCAAAGAAUAAGCACCGGCUAACUUCGUG
rnacentral:rRNA from 1 species